rnacentral:sRNA from 1 species
CGCCAAGGUGCGGCGGGGCCGGGCGGGGGCGGGGACCCGGGGCCCACGGGGCGAGUGACUGCUGCCCUUCCGCGCAGUGAGCCAUCACUACGGCUACGGGCUGCUGGACGCCGGGCUGCUGGUGGACACCGCCCGCACCUGGCUGCCCACCCAACCGCAGAGGAAGUGUGCCGUCCGGGUCCAGAACCACCCCACCCCUAUCCUGCCGCUGAUCUACAUCAGGGAAAACGUAUCGGCCUGCGCCGGCCUCCACAACUCCAUCCGCUCGCUGGAGCACGUGCAGGCGCAGCUGACACUGUCCUACAGCCGGCGCGGAGACCUGGAGAUCUCGCUCACCAGCCCCAUGGGCACGCGCUCCACACUCGUGGCCAUACGACCCUUGGACGUCAGCACUGAAGGCUACAACAACUGGGUCUUCAUGUCCACCCACUUCUGGGAUGAGAACCCACAGGGCGUGUGGACCCUGGGCCUAGAGAACAAGGGCUACUAUUUCAACACGGGGACGUUGUACCGCUACACGCUGCUGCUCUAUGGGAC